CCCCCCUCAGCAAUUUAUAGUUAGUAUCUCGAGUGGGGCAGUGUUACUUUAUCUCAGUAUAUAAGCAGUACACAGCUGAAUAAUACCACAACAUUCAGUGAGUUCUUGUUCAUCUACAACAGGCGUAAAAAAGCCGUUCUAGCCAAAUAAUAAUCGCCAUGCAUUCUCGAGUUAUCACAUGCCUUAUGCUUCUUUGCUUGCUCUUGAGUCCCUUGAGUGUAGAAAAAUCCCAGGCAUUAGCAGUUGAUAAGAAGAAGAUUAUGAAGGCUUUAUGGCUCGCCAAACUUGCCCUGAAAAAGAAGAAGUUGUUGGUGGUACCUCUUCCUCUCCCUGUUCCUGUCAUGGUGGAGAAAAAGCAUCAUGAGCAUCAUAUUGAACAUCAUGGAAUGCAUCAUGGGUAUUGAUGACAAUCACCAUCAAAUCAAAUUUGUGUAUAUGUUCACCCUUAUAACGAAUAAUCAUCAUUGAAACAUCUUAUCAUUACAAGACAUUGACAUGCAAUCAUUUGACUUAUCAUUACUUAAAAGCAGCGUAGGAUUCUUGUUUUUUUUUAAAAAAAAAAAAAAGGAAAACUAUUGUAAAUACUCAUUUCAUAUCAAUAUAAAAUUGUACAAUAAGGUAAAUAAAGUUCGUUGAAAAUUGUUGAA